UGGGGAAUAUUGGACAAUGGCGCAAGCCUGAUCCAGCCAUGCCGCGUGUGUGAAGAAGGCCUUCGGGUUGUAAACACUUUUGUCCGGAAAGAAAUCCUGUCGGUUAAUACCCGGCGGGGAUGACGGUACCGGAAGAUAAGCACCGGCUAACUUCGUGCCAGCAGCCGCGGUAAUACGAAGGGUGCAAGCGUUACUCGGAAUUACUGGGCGUAAAGCGUGCGUAGGNGGUCUGUUAAGUCUGAUGUGAAAGCCCUGGGCUCAACCUGGGAACUGCAUUGGAUACUGGCAGUCUGGAGUGCGGUAGAGGGUAGCGGAAUUCCCGGUGUAGCAGUGAAAUGCGUAGAUAUCGGGAGGAACAUCCGUGGCGAAGGCGGCUACCUGGACCAGCACUGACA
rnacentral:rRNA from 1 species